UACGAAGGGGGCUAGCGUUGCUCGGAAUCACUGGGCGUAAAGGGUGCGUAGGCGGGUCUUUUAAGUCAGGGGUGAAUCCUGGAGCUCAACUCCAGAACUGCCUUUGAUACUGAAGAUCUUGAGUUCGGGAGAGGUGAGUGGAACUGCGAGUGUAGAGGUGAAAUUCGUAGAUAUUCGCAAGAACACCAGUGGCGAAGGCGGCUCACUGGCCCGAUACUGACGCUGAGGCACGAAAGCGUGGGGAGCAAACAGGG
rnacentral:rRNA from 1 species